GCGUCUGUGGUGCGACGGUUCAGCACACCCUCCCGGAAGGAGUGAGGUCUGGGUUUGAAUCCCGGCUGACGCA